rnacentral:rRNA from 1 species
CAGUCGCCGCGGUAAUACAGAGGAUGCAAGCGUUAUCCGGAAUGAUUGGGCGUAAAGCGUCUGUAGGUGGCUUUUCAAGUCCGCCGUCAAAUCCCAGGGCUCAACCCUGGACAGGCGGUGGAAACUACCAAGCUGGGGUACGGUAGGGGCAGAGGGAAUUUCCGGUGGAGCGGUGAAAUGCGUUGAGAUCGGAAAGAACACCAACGGCGAAAGCACUCCGCUGGGCCGACACUGACACUGAGAGACGGAAGCUAGGGGAGCAAAUGGGAUUAGAUACCCGCGUAGUCCCUGUCUCUUAUAC